GACGAACGCUGGCGGCGUGCUUAACACAUGCAAGUCGAACGGAAAGGCCCUGCUUUUGUGGGGUGCUCGAGUGGCGAACGGGUGAGUAACACGUGAGUAACCUGCCCUUGACUUUGGGAUAACUUCAGGAAACUGGGGCUAAUACCGGAUAGGAGCUCCUGCUGCAUGGUGGGGGUUGGAAAGUUUCGGCGGUUGGGGAUGGACUCGCGGCUUAUCAGCUUGUUGGUGGGGUAGUGGCUUACCAAGGCUUUGACGGGUAGCCGGCCUGAGAGGGUGACCGGCCACAUUGGGCCUGAGAUACGGCCCAGACUCCUACGGGAGGCAGCAGUGGGGAAUAUUGCACAAUGGGCGGAAGCCUGAUGCAGCAACGCCGCGUGCGGGAUGACGGCCUUCGGGUUGUAAACCGCUUUCGCAUGUGACGAAGAGUGAGUGACGGUAAUGGGUAAAGAAGCACCGGCUAACUACGUG
rnacentral:rRNA from 1 species